GGGUCGUUAGCUCAGUUGGUAGAGCAGUUGACUUUUAAUCAGUGGUCGCGAGUUUCGAAUCCUGCACGACCCACCA
rnacentral:tRNA from 1 species